rnacentral:tRNA from 2 species
GGGGCAGUAGCUCAGUUGGGAGAGCGGCACGUUCGCAACGUGUAGGUCGGCGGUUCGAAUCCGCUCUGCUCCACCA